GCUCUCGUGGUGAAGGGGAGAUCACGCGUGCCUUCGAAGCUCGAGUCCCUGGUUCGAUUCCAGGCGAGAGCG
rnacentral:tRNA from 1 species